GACCGAGUGCCGCUCACGCCCGGU
rnacentral:snRNA from 1 species